rnacentral:rRNA from 1 species
UACGUAGGGUGCGAGCGUUAAUCGGAAUUACUGGGCGUAAAGCGUGCGCAGGCGGUUUGCUAAGACCGAUGUGAAAUCCCCGGGCUCAACCUGGGAACUGCAUUGGUGACUGGCAGGCUAGAGUAUGGCAGAGGGGGGGUAGAAUUCCACGUGUAGCAGUGAAAUGCGUAGAGAUGUGGAGGAAUACCGAUGGCGAAGGCAGCCCCCCUGGGCCAAUACUGACGCUCAUGCACGAAAGCGUGGGGAGCAAACAGG